GCACCUGGUGGCGAGCGGCGGACGGGUGAGUAAUGCCUAGGAAUCUGCCUGGUAGUGGGGGAUAACGUUCGGAAACGAACGCUAAUACCGCAGACGUCCUACGGGAGAAAGCAGGGGACCUUCGGGCCUUGCGCUAUCAGAUGAGCCUAGGUCGGAUUAGCUAGUUGGUGAGGUAAUGGCUCACCAAGGCGACGAUCCGUAACUGGUCUGAGAGGAUGAUCAGUCACACUGGAACUGAGACACGGUCCAGACUCCUACGGGAGGCAGCAGUGGGGAAUAUUGGACAAUGGGCGAAAGCCUGAUCCAGCCAUGCCGCGUGUGUGAAGAAGGUCUUCGGAUUGUAAAGCACUUUAAGUUGGGAGGAAGGGCAGUUACCUAAUACGUGAUUGUUUUGACGUUACCGACAGAAUAAGCACCGGCUAACUCUGUGCCAGCAGCCGCGGUAAUACAGAGGGUGCAAGCGUUAAUCGGAAUUACUGGGCGUAAAGCGCGCGUAGGUGGUUCGUUAAGUUGGAUGUGAAAUCCCCGGGCUCAACCUGGGAACUGCAUUCAAAACUGUCGAGCUAGAGUAUGGAGAAGGUG
rnacentral:rRNA from 1 species